rnacentral:rRNA from 1 species
UACGUAGGGGCUGAGCGUUGUCCGGAAUUCAUUGGGCGUAAAGAGCGUGUAGGCGGCCGGUAAGUCCGCUGUAAAAGUCAAAGGCUCAACCUUUGAAAUGGCAGUGGAUAACCUGCCGGGCUAGAGUCCGAAGAGGCGAGUGGAACGUCCUGGUGGUGAGCGGUGGAAUGCGCAGAUAUACAGGAAGAACACCAACGGCGAAGGCAGCUCGCUGGGACGGUACUGACGCUGAGACGCGAAAGCGUGGGGAGCGAAGCAGG